GUUUCAGCCUGAAGAGACUGCAAUUGAAAUUCAUUAUAUGGCACCAAACAUAUAUUGUUGUGGAGCAGGAACUACUGCCGAUACAGAGGCAAUAACGGCUCACAACUGCAAUUGCAUCGCUACCAUACUGGUCAAGAAUCAAGGUUGUCACAGCACUCACCCUCAUGAAGAAUCACCUUUUCAAGUGAAGUUUCAUUUGUUGCAGACCAAGAAAUGAAAGUUGCAUUUGAGUUGAUGUUACUGGACGUCAUCUGCAUAUAUACUGGAGAUUCUUAGGAACAAAAUUGGAUA